AAAAGGCUUAGCAUACAACACAACCUCAUACUUAGUCUUGGACUUCACCCUUAGCUUGGCGCCCACCUUGCCCCAGUGGAGGUUGGUUGGGAUGUUGCAUGGUGAGCCCUUGGGUGGCGCGUGGAGCUUAGCCUUGCAAGCCUUGCCUCCAUAUUUAGCAUAGUCAAAUCCUUUCACUUCAAUGCUAUAUUUGCCAUUACUCUUUGUCUUUCCAUAUGCCACUACCUCUUUCUCUCCAGCCUUGCAGCUCACUUCAACAACAGCUCCUUUAAGGUGCUUCUUGUCGUGUGAUUUUUCGGGGUAGGCCCAAUCGUAGCAUCGGAUGCAGUAGACUUUUCCGACCACCUUAAACACUAGGUGGUGGUGCGGUGGGUAGUAUGGUGGAGUGUAAGGCUUUGGUGGUGGAGAGUAGUAAACAGGUGGAGGCGAGUAAGUUGGUGGUGGUGGAGAUUUGUAAUAGUAAGGUGGAGAGUAGGGAGGUGAGUAGGUCGGGGGUGGUGGAGAUUUGUAGUAGUAU
rnacentral:misc_RNA from 1 species